rnacentral:rRNA from 1 species
ACGAGUUUGAUCCUGGCUCAGAUUGAACGCUGGCGGAAUGCUUUACACAUGCAAGGUCGAACGGUAGACGGGGGCAACCCUUGAGAGUGGCGAACGGGUGAGUAAUAUAUCGGAACGUGCCCAGUCGUGGGGAUAACGUAGCGAAAGUUACGCUAAUACCGCAUACGAUCUAAGGAUGAAAGCGGGGGAUCGCAAGACCUCGCGCGAUUGGAGCGGCCGAUAUCAGAUUAGGUAGUUGGUGAGGUAAAGGCUCACCAAGCCGACGAUCUGUAGCUGGUCUGAGAGGACGACCAGCCACACUGGGACUGAGACACGGCCCAGACUCCUACGGGAGGCAGCAGUGGGAAUUUUGGACAAUGGGCGCAAGCCUGAUCCAGCAAUGCCGCGUGCAGGAUGAAGGCCUUCGGGUUGUAAACUGCUUUUGUACGGAACGAAACGGUGAGCUCUAAUACAGUUUGCUAAUGACGGUACCGUAAGAAUAAGCACCGGCUAACUACGUG